GGGCGUACAAUACGUCAGCGGCAGACGGGUGAGUAACGCGUGGGAACGUACCUUUUGGUUCGGAACAACACAGGGAAACUUGUGCUAAUACCGGAUAAGCCCUUACGGGGAAAGAUUUAUCGCCGAAAGAUCGGCCCGCGUCUGAUUAGCUAGUUGGUAGGGUAAUGGCCUACCAAGGCGACGAUCAGUAGCUGGUCUGANAGGAUGAUCAGCCACAUUGGGACUGAGACACGGCCCAAACUCCUACGGGAGGCAGCAGUGGGGAAUAUUGGACAAUGGGGGCAACCCUGAUCCAGCCAUGCCGCGUGAGUGAUGAAGGCCCUANGGUUGUAAAGCUCUUUUGUGCGGGAAGAUAAUGACGGUACCGCAAGAAUAAGCCCCGGCUAACUUCGUGCCAGCAGCCGCGGUAAUAC
rnacentral:rRNA from 1 species